AUUGAACGCUGGCGGCAGGCCUAACACAUGCAAGUCGAACGAGUGGCGGACGGGUGAGUAAUGUCUGGGAAACUGCCCGAUGGAGGGGGAUAACACUUGGAAACAGGUGCUAAUACCGCAUACUGAGGGAUGGACCCGCGGUGCAUUAGCUAGUUGGGGAGGUAACGGCUCACCAAGGCCACGAGGCAUAGCCGACCUGAGAGGGUGAUCGGCCACACUGGGACUGAGACACGUUCCAGACUCCUACGGGAGGCAGCAGUGGGGAAUAUUGCACAAUGGGCGCAAGCCUGAUGCAGCCAUGCCGCGUGUAUGAAGAAGGCCUUCGGGUUGUAAAGUACUUUCAGCGGGGAGGCGUUACCCGCAGAAGAAGCACCGGCUAACUCCGUGCCAGCCGCCGCGGUAAUAC
rnacentral:rRNA from 1 species